CGGGGGGAGCAAGCGUUGUUCGGAUUUACUGGGCGUAAAGGGCGCGUAGGCGGCCAGCACAAGUCAGUUGUGAAAUCUCCGGGCUUAACUCGGAACGGUCAACUGAUGCUGUGCGGCUAGAGUGCAGAAGGGGCAACUGGAAUUCUCGGUGUAGCGGUGAAAUGCGUAGAUAUCGAGAGGAACACCUGCGGCGAAGGCGGGUUGCUGGGCUGACACUGACGCUGAUGCGCGAAAGCCAGGGGAGCGAACGGGAUUAGAUACCCCGGUAGUCCUGGCCUUAAACGAUGGAUGCUUGGUGUCUGGAGUUUUAUAGUCUCCGGGUGCCGUAGCUAACGCGUUAAGCAUCCCGCCUGGGGAGUACGGUCGCAAGACUG
rnacentral:rRNA from 1 species